CCGCCGCGCGCGGCGGGCGGGGCGGGGGCACGGGGGGCCUACGGGGAGGCAGCAGUGGGGGAAUAUUGGACAAUGGGCGCAAGCCUGAUCCAGCCAUGCCGCGUGAGUGAUGAAGGCCCUAGGGUUGUAAAGCUCUUUCGACGGGGACGAUAAUGCACGGUACCCGUAGAAGAAGCCCCGGCUAACUCCGUGCC
rnacentral:rRNA from 1 species